UACAGAGGGUGCGAGCGUUAAUCGGAAUUACUGGGCGUAAAGCGUGCGUAGACGGUUAUUUAAGUCGGAUGUGAAAGCCCCGGGCUCAACCUGGGAAUUGCAUUCGAGACUGAAUAGCUAGGGUACGGUAGAGGGAAGCGGAAUUUCCGGUGUAGCGGUGAAAUGCGUAGAUAUCGGAAGGAACAUCAGUGGCGAAGGCGGGUCUCUGGACAGUUCCUGACGCUGAGGCACGAAGGUCAGGGGAGCAAACGGG
rnacentral:rRNA from 1 species